rnacentral:rRNA from 1 species
GGAUCCAGACUUUGAUCAUGGCUCAGGCUGAACGCUAGCUACAGGCCUAACACAUGCAAGUCGAGGGGAAACGGCAGCUUAGCUUGCUAAGCUGGACGUCGACCGGCGCACGGGUGAGUAACGCGUAUCCAACCUGCCCCACGGUGAGGGAUAACCCGCGGAAACGCGGCCUAAUACCUCAUGGUCUCCGAGCUUGGCAUCAAUCUUGGAGUAAAGAUUCAUUGCCGUGGGAUGGGGAUGCGUCUGAUUAGCUUGUUGGCGGGGCAACGGCCCACCAAGGCAACGAUCAGUAGGGGUUCUGAGAGGAAAGCCCCCCACAUUGGAACUGAGACACGGUCCAAACUCCUACGGGAGGCAGCAGUGAGGAAUAUUGGUCAAUGGGCGAGAGCCUGAACCAGCCAAGUAGCGUGCAGGAAGACGGCCCUAUGGGUUGUAAACUGCUUUUAUGCGGGGAUAAAGCGGGCGACGUGUCGCCCUUUGCAGGUACCGCAUGAAUAAGGACCGGCUAAUUCCGUGCCAGCAGCCGCGGUAAUACGGAAGGUCCGGGCGUUAUCCGGAUUUAUUGGGUUUAAAGGGAGCGCAGGCCGGGUAUUAAGCGUGUUGUGAAAUGUAGGCGCCCAACGUCUGCACCGCAGCGCGAACUGGUGCCCUUGAGUACGCACGACGUUGGCGGAAUUCGCCGUGUAGCGGUGAAAUGCUUAGAUAUGGCGAAGAACUCCGAUUGCGAAGGCAGCUGACGGGAGCGCUACUGACGCUCAUGCUCGAAAGCGCGGGUAUCGAACAGGAUUAGAUACCCUGGUAGUCCGCGCGGUAAACGAUGGAUGCCCGCUAUUUGCGCAUUAGCGCAAGUGGCCAAGUGAAAACGUUAAGCAUCCCACCUGGGGAGUACGCCGGCAACGGUGCAACUCAAAGGAAUUGACGG